rnacentral:rRNA from 1 species
AGAGUUUGAUCCUGGCUCAGAUUGAACGCUGGCGGCAUGCCUUACACAUGCAAGUCGAACGGUAACGGGCCUUCGGGUGCCGACGAGUGGCGAACGGGUGAGUAAUGCAUCGGAACGUACCUUUCAGUGGGGGAUAACGUAGCGAAAGUUACGCUAAUACCGCAUAUUCUGUGAGCAGGAAAGCAGGGGAUCGCAAGACCUUGCGCUGAUUGAGCGGCCGAUGUCAGAUUAGCUAGUUGGUGAGGUAAAGGCUCACCAAGGCGACGAUCUGUAGCGGGUCUGAGAGGAUGAUCCGCCACACUGGAACUGAGACACGGUCCAGACUCCUACGGGAGGCAGCAGUGGGGAAUUUUGGACAAUGGGGGCAACCCUGAUCCAGCCAUGCCGCGUGAGUGAAGAAGGCCUUCGGGUUGUAAAGCUCUUUCGGCCGGGAAGAAAUCGCAUGGGUUAAUACCCUGUGCGGAUGACGGUACCGGCAUAAGAAGCACCGGCUAACUACGUG